rnacentral:lncRNA from 1 species
GUGACCAGAAGGUAACCGAUGUAGGCAGAGAGGAGGGACAAGGUGGCGAUGAAAUUAGGGUAGACGGUGGCAGUCCAAGCAGAAACAACAAUGACACAAAUGGAACCGCUACAAACUCCGGUCAGAAGGCAAUGACAAUGACACAAAUGGAACCGCUACAAACUCCGGUCAGAAAGCAAAUGGCACUGGUCAUGUCCGAAUCUACUAUUGUCUCCAUUUCCCUCUUUUCAAACAACUCCCAUGUGUCUUGUGAUGCCUUCACAAAACUUUUCGCAUAUGCAGCAAUCUGUGAAAAUAUUUUCGAAUUUCCAAUCAACGUUACAUUUAAUUAAACAACUUGCCGAUCCAAAAGCUCGAAUAAAGGAAGAAGGUAGAGAUAAAUUAGUUAAUUUAAAUUUAAUUAAAGAAUUUAUUUCUUUAUUUGAAUAAUUGUGUGAUGGACGACCCUUAGUGACAAACUUCCGAAUAAUUAAGCACGAAUUCGAUGUAUUAAAGAGUCACCAACUAAAUAUGGUUGCAAAAUGGUGCAAGUUGGAGUGGGUUUUAUAUGUUUUUUUUCUGAAUAUUUGAAAAAAAAUAUUUUAAGGAAACUACUGACAUCUCAACUCACGCCUCAUUGAAGGCGAGAGGGAAUUAUGACUCUAACUCUAUGUAUUAGAUAUAUAUUUAACAAGUCGGAAACGCCCGUAUUAAGUUAUAAACUGAGAAUGACUCAGAGUAUG